CGGAAGCUGUGAUUGGGGGGAAUGAAGCCUGGUCCGAGGUCUCUUCCACAGAGAGGUGAGUCGAAAGUGUCCUCGAGCCAGACAACAUUCCCCUCAAAGAAAAACUUCCU
rnacentral:miRNA from 15 species